rnacentral:lncRNA from 1 species
AAAUUCUGGCUUCAAAGUUUUGUAGCGACUUUUAUACGGUUGCCUCUGAAGGUUUUUAUGUGGCGAAUCAGUGGCCGCUAACACUAAUUAAAAGUAUAUAAAAAAAUCCACUCCUAUUAUUAAAUGAAAAAAAAUCACAGAUUGGUGUAGGUCUUCUUCUCCUUGCUCGUUGCUCUCUAAAACUUUUCCCACUCAAUUUCCUCUCUUAUCAAAUCUCUCGAAUCUAACUGCUCAAAUCACAAAUUGUGACCCAUCUGAUAGCAAAGCAAAAGCCCUAAUCAAAAAAUGUGACUCCAUCAGGUAUGUGCUCUAAUCUUAAACUCAAAUUCCUUUUCGGUGGUAUAUACAGUUAGCGAGAAUGAUAAUUUCAACGAUUUCACAUAGGAUUUUCACAGACUUCACCUAUAAUUUCUCUGACCCAGUUGAAAAACUAUAGGAACGAAAAGAAAUUCAUACAAUAACAAUCCAUGGUGAGGAGUCAGCGGGGAUUUUGGGUUUUCAGUCUGAUGCUCAACUUUUCUCGGCCUCCGAAAAAAAUUAGUAAACUAUUUUUUGAUCCGCUGUCUUGAUAACACUCUCCAAUCUCUCCCUAUCUCUUUCUCUAGCAAAAUCGAGUAGUAAUUCUGUAUUAAUCAUAAAAGUUGGGUUGUUCUUUUCUUGGUAGCAGAAGCACGAACAUUCGUAGUUUUUGGGUUUUUUUUUUUUUUUUUAUUUUUUUAGGGUUAUUGUUGUUUCAGUUUGUUCUGUUAGUAGAGAAAGGAACUAAGAGUAUUUGUAUUGGCGGAAAGAGGAGGAAUAAAAGUUCAGGUAGUGAUUGAGAGAACAUUGAAGGAAAUAUCAAAUGGUAAUUUUGUUCUUGACAUGAAGAAUAAAUGUGGUGUUGGAGGUAUUGAGGUUAUGUUUUUAGAAGAUAGAGCUACUGAAGAUUAGCCUAUCACCCCAUGAACCUUUUCUGUUGCCAGGUAAUCCAAACUAUUUGUUGACUAAUUCUUUGAUUGUCUAGCUUUCGCUUAACGUUGCUAUGGACUGUGUUAACUUUUCCUGCUAUACCCCAAAAGAAUAUGAUAGUGCUUCAUAUUUAAUUGUGCAAUAUUUAGUUAUCUAUAAACUAAAAUAGUGGGAUGUAAUGUGUAGUUGAAAAUAGUGUUAUUAUCCUCUUUUUUCUUUAGAUUAAGUUCUAUUCAGUUAGUUUCCUGCUCCAGGAGAACCAUUUAGUUAUCAUUGAUUUAUGCAGCUGGAUUUAUUAAUUAAUGGGUGUUUGGUUAUGAAAAUAAUUGAUUUAGUUUAUGUGAAGUUGUCAACUAUUAGUCCUUCUUGACAGUCAUCUUUAUAGAGUUGUGUUGAUAUAACUUUUUAUGGGAUUCACACUACAACAAAGGACUUGCCUUCCCUGUGGUGGAGAGAGAUGCUAUCACGCGACCUUCUACCUCAUAAUUCUUCAGGUCAAGAACUUGCCUUCUCUGUUUCAAGCCAAGAACUUCAGGUCAUUUCAUAAUUCUUGACUUAUAACCUUGAGUUCGUUCUUCCAUUUCCACUCAUAAUAAGACUGGUAAUAUUUUCUGUCAAAUAUCAGGAGAAGAAAUUAAUGCACAAUUUCUUUCAAUAUUAAGUUUCCUCGUAAGGAUACAUGGCUAUGUGGUUCUUCAGGUAGUCUUACCUCUCACUAUAGCAGUGAAAAUUUCACAUCAUGUUCAUUAUAUGAACUUAAAUGGAGUUGGUAUGAGGUUAGAGAUAGCAUGGUUAUAUUGUCCAUCACGUUAAUGGAAUUACCUUGUAGCAUGGCUAUAUGGUCAUAUAUGUUUAAUUUUCUCGUUCUCCUUUUUAUUUUAUCAUGUUUUUUCCUUUUUGUGCCCUCUAGAACAAAUGAUUUAAGCUCCCAUUUUUGUCAAUUGUACAUUUAAAAUCCUUUUACAGUAAGUCUAAGGGAAUACAAUUCCAUUAAAAUAUUACUUGACUAUUCUAUGUUAUUUCAUGAUGAGUCUACUUUGUCACCAGACCAAUGGGUGAUUUUAUGUCUAUGCUGCUAAAAUUCUGCUGAUAACGUAUUAUUCCAAUGCUCGGGAAAGAAAUAAAAAGUUAUCUUACAAGUUUCUUAUCGAUUAUUCCAUGUGCUGGAACUUUUUAUCCAAGUCAUUAUUGUUACUGAUGGAGAGCGAAUAUUACGACGUGGUAAUCUUGGUUGUCAGGUAAAUCUUUUAAAUUCUACUAGCUAUUAGAUUUGUUUUCUAAUAGUGUGUUAUUUGAACAAUUGGAUGGAACUAAUUAGAGAGACAAUACUGACUAUCUCUUACUUUACUUGUACACGGUACCAUGUUGAUAACAUACUUGACCGAAAGUUCCAAUGUAGUUUCAGGGAAUUAUUAUAGUGCUCUUGGAGGUGUUCGUCCCUCAUCCUGAUUAUGUUAGUAUUACUAGCAUUACCAUUUAUGUGUUUUCUUUUUUAUUUUCAUUCUUACUGUUAUUACUAAUCUCAUACAUUCUCUUUUUGAACAAAAGUAUCGAUAAGAGGCUCAACUUUUUUUCCAUUUCCCUUCUCUGCUAUCUCUUUCUUGGUCUUUAGAUUUUAUGCUAUAUUCCUAAUUAAAUCGGGGUAGUCUCUCAUCUAUCUCUUUCUCGGUCUUCAAGUUCUCAUUUUUUUAGCAACUUUUUGGUACCUUAAUCAUCACAGUAAUUUUUUGUUGAUUAGCUUAUUGAUCUUAAUAGAGUUGGGAUCGGCUGUGUUUAUUUACUUUGACAAAAAGCUAAAAAGAGGUGAAUGUUACGCCAACUGAUAAUUGUAGUACCAGUUGAUUCAUUUGUGUGUGGCCUUUAAUAGAUUAUUUGGAGUUUUGCUGAAUUGAGCUAAGAAUUUUCCAGAAUAAAGUUUAUUGUUCAAUCUAAAAUCAAUCUCCAGAUAAUAGGAGUCCCCAUCAGUUAUUUGUUUAAUGCUCUUUCAUUUCCCCCAUUUUGAUGGAAACUCUUGGCUCUGUUUCGAACCAGUUAUAAUUUUCAUUAUGUCUAUUUGUAUUGUCGAUUCUGUUUUGCACUUUUUUUUUAUGAUCAUAUUUAGUAAUUUAUAAACUUUAUGCAUAAUUAAAUAAGUUUAUUGACACUUGAAGCUUCAACCUAGGAAACUAUAUUGAGUUUUCUUUAAAUUCUCAUGCUUGUGGUAUUUGAGUUUGGUUUUCUAGCUGCUCCACUUUGACCCACUUGGGCAGUUUGAUAGUUUCAAAUUUCUGAGCUUAGUUCGCUUGGCAAAACUAUUUUGUACAACUUUCCUUGGUCAAACUUUUCCUUUGCUUUUUUAAAUGCGUUUUGCAAUCUUUUACUCCAAUCUAUUGGCCAUCCUUUUUUACUAUUAACAUUGAGAAUUGUCAAAGUGAUCUCUUGUUUGUUUUUCUUAAUAACAGGGGUGAGGCUCUUAAUCAAUCACAAUUGUUGUCGACCAUGGAGGAGUUUGAAGGCCCUAAAUCAUAGUUAUUAUUUUUCUUAUCAUAUGUAUAUGAAUACAAUGACAAUGAACGAUGAAGUAUUGUGUAAUACAAAUUAAUUGAUAUUUUGGUAAUGGAAGUAUAUAUAAUAUUCAGUUUGAGAAAUACUUUUGGUAUUUGUCGAAUACUAUUGGAUGCUUUUAAUAUUGAUUGUACAAUGGUAGAAACAUACCUAUAUAUUAAUUUUGUAAAUUAGGCCGCCACAGAAAAUGAUAGGAUUUUGGAAAAUAUAAUUAUUGAAAAAAUGGGUUUUAGUGGCGACAAAACUGUCAUAAAUAACUAUUAGUUAUUGUGGCGACCAGGGUUGCCACUAAACCUUAGGAUAUUGUGGCGAUAAGAGUUGCCACUGAAGAUGUAAGGAACCCUUUUGCAACGUAACAUGUAUGUUUUUUGCGACGAGUAUAGUCGCCACAAAUGUAUUUUAUUAGUGGCGACCCGGAGGGGUCGUCACAAUAAACAUUCAGUAACGCAGUUACUUGCGGCAGCCUUAAGAUCGCUACUAAAAAUAUCUAGCGGCGACAUUUUGUGCUCUUGUAGCGACAAUAGUCGCCAGAAAAGGUCUGAUUUCUUGUAGUGAUCUAAGGACAGAAAAAGAAAAUUCUUCAUAGAUGUCUUCGUUAUACAGCAAUUCACCUACUAAUAUCUUUCUGAUCGUUACAUCCAAUGAUUCCUCGACUUCUAGUCUACUCACAUGCUUUAUUUUUAUAACUACAGUCAUGUGGACUUAUUCUUGCACAACGGAUAAGGAGCGCAAUACACUUGUUUCACAUUUUGUGUAAUGAUAAAUGGAUCAUAGAGUGGAUACUCUCUUGUCUACUUAAUUUCAACUAUUUUGUACUGCGGGUGUACCUUCGUAUUUCUAUUAAGUGUUAGAUCAUACCACUUUCACCGAAAGAUUACCAACUUUUUCUUUGGUCAAUAACAUUGUACUCGAAUUCUAAAAUCUCUUGAGCACAACAUAAUAAUCAUCAACAUCGCCCUUACCUUCCACCCACAACCCAUUAUUAUUGGUUUUUCUGCCUUUAUACCAUUCUUUUAUAUGAAACUUGUACCCAUUGACAUAAUACUUAGACAUCUUUCUAACUCCAGGAUCAAGUCCCAGAGUUUUAUCAUGCAAAAAUAUGUCAAUUACGCCAUUAACUGGAUUAUGAACUUGUAUAGAAUUAGAGAAAAUUUAGAAUUUUAAAAAUAUAUGUAAUUGAUUUUUAAAUAAUAAAAAUCAUGUUAAAUAUUAAGUAACACUUACAAAUUCUCUAAACCACUCUAAAAGCCUAGGAUAAACAAUAUCGUGGCCAUAUGUACCCACAAAGUAACUGUUUGAUAAAAUAGCAAGUUUCAUUAGUUAAAUCAAUGGAAGAUCUUGUAUGGAACCCGAUAAUAUAAGUAUGUACUUACCUAUAAUAAGGUAGGACCUCGGGGAAACUUAAUAUUACAUAUGUUGUAGAUGACUUUAGCCCCAUCUCAGUUAAAAUUAUCUUUGGACUAUGUUUUGAACCUGCUUUACCUAGUUGAUUGAAUAUGGAAAAAGAUUGGUGUCAAAGGAUUGGUACUCCUUUAUCGUCAUGCCGAGUGGGUCUAUUUCUCAAACAUGACAUAUUAUGUUGAAAUUAAUAUGAAUAGAAAUAAGUUCUUUUAGCUAGAUAUACCUCACAUGUGGAUCCCUCAAUUCACAAUCUAUUUUUCAAGGUCUUCUUAUAUUUGCCAAUAGUCUUGCAUAGUAUAACUUUUAGAUGAAAUAAUAUUUAAUUAAAACAUAUAAAGGUCAAAUGAUUAAAAUUAAUUAACUCUAAAAGGGAUAUAUCUAUCUACAUUGAACUGGCCCUACAAGUCGUGCCUUUUACGCUAGGUGAAUUGGAAGAUGUUCUAUUGCAUCAAAACAAACUAGGAGGGAAAAUCUUUGCCAACUUGUUUAAAGUUAAGAAAACGUUACUCAUCAUGUAAGUUAGGUUAUCCACCCUUAAUAUACUAGAACACAACUCGAAAAAUAAGCGUAUCUCAGUAAUGGGUUUGCAUAUUCUAUCAGGCAAGGCACUGAACGCAAUAAGCAUCAAAGAUUCCAUAAAAUUGUGACAAUCAUGGCUUUUCAUAGACAUCAUCUUCCAUUUCAUGUCAACACACCUAUAUAAUUUUGACGCAUAUCCAUCCGGCAUAGUCAAAUUCUUAACCUAAUGAAAAAUAUCUCUUCUCUCAUCCAAAGUGAAUGUGUAACUGGCUUUUGGGCUUCUGAAUCUUGUUGCUCGAGUAUGUCAGGUACAACUCACAUCACCUAUAAUAUUCCUUUAGAGAUAGUAUAUCGCAGACCUCCAUUGCAUGGGCUGAAGUAUCUCUGAAACGGAUGAAUUUUGAGAUAGAUUGAGAUUAUAUGGAUAUUCUAUUACAGGGUUUAAGGUUCGGAGCACUCGAAUUCAUAAAUCAGUAUUGCAAUUCAGAUCAAUUUCAUUUCAAUGUUUGGGAAUUGCCGUCAGUGAAGGAAGAUUGUUUAUGACAAAUGAUUGAUUAAAAUGGCCCCAUAAUAGGCUGGUCUUAGCCGAAUGUCUCUAAAUUUAGCAGUAUUUAAAAAAAACUGGCCUUGCAUACAGUUAUUGCUCCUUAGCGUUUUUCUAUUGGAUCGGUAGAGUUUAUGCUAGAUUUAUUCUACCUAUCUGUUAAGUUGUUCAUCAAAGUCUACCCGGUUGGCAUGAAUUUGCUCUUCAAGGAUUCUCUACCAGAUUGGUAGAGUUUAAGCUAUACUUAUUUUACCGAUCUGCUAAGUUGUUCAUCAAAGUCUACCUAAUUGGCAAGAAAAAAAAUUGUAUUAUUUUAACAAAGUGUUCUUCUAAGUUGUAACUUCAAUUUCGAUCAAACCACCCCAAAUCUGAUGAUCUCAAAUUUGAAACAAAGCUUCCAAAUAAUAACACAAACAAUCCUCAAUCACCAAUUAAGUCAAAUAAUACCAAAUCAAAAAAUACCUACUUUGUCUUCUUCAACACUUUCUAAGGUCCAACAAUAGAGUUUUGAGCUUUUUACAAUAAAUUACUAAAUUGAUAUUUGAACUAAAACUUUAAGCAUAAGUUAUCAACAUACAAAUGAUUUUUACAAUAAUAGAUCAUUAAUCUUCUACUUUCCACCACCAAACAAGAAUUUCAAACUUUAAAUAUCGAAGAACUAUGAUAUUCAAGUGUAAAAGGAUGUCGAUCUUUUCAAAAUAAAUAGAAUAGAGGGAGUAGAUAAAAGGUAAUACUACCCGCGCUCGAGUUAUGACUUCUAUCCACUAGAUAUCUGAGUUUAAAGUGGCGCAUAUGCAUCUAUACCCAGUUUUGGGAUCACCAUUGAACUUAUACUCACUUUGCAUAAAAAACUGCAAGUCUACUCACUUUUCGGAUAACUUCAGAUACAGGCCCGAAGUAGCAAAAUUUUAUGUCUGAAGUUUGAACUUCAAAAUUUUUUGCCUGAAGUGUGGCCUUAUUCAAAGAAAAACUACAGAUAAUUUUGCAUGAAUUUUGGCCUGACUUGCAAAGGCAAUCAGGCAAACUCUAGUUCAUAGUGCAAGGCAACUUCAGUUCAUAGUGCAAACUUUAAACAAAUUAGCAAAGCUCUCGCGUCAAUUCUCAACAAGGACGAACUAUUGGAAGCUUAUUUAAUACAACAAGUCUGAAGUUUGAACUUCAAAAAUUUUAACCUGAAGUGUGGCCUUUUCAAAGCAAAACUUCAAGUAUUUUCUCCUGAAGUUUGGCCUGACUUGCAAAGGCAAUCGGAAAAACUUCACUUCAUAGUGCAAACUUGUAAUGACCCGACCGGUCAUUUUGCGUAUUGUAGCAUGUUCUGCUUUUUAUCAUUUCUUCUAUGUUUAUUUAUGGUUAUGUAACUUGCCGGGGUGGUUGAAUUGAUUUCGGGGAGGUUUUGGUGUGAAUUGAGACACAUCCCAAGGUUGAAAGCUUAAGUUUGAAGAUUUGACUGAAGUUUGACUUUUGAAUAGACUACUCCGGAAUGGAGUUUUGAUGGUUCCGAUAGCUUUGUAUGAUAAUUUUGGACUUAAGCGUAUAUCCGGAUGUUGAUUUGGAGGUCCGAAUGAUGAUUUGGAGGUCCGUAGGUCGAUUUGGUACUUUUUGGCAAAAGUUGGAAAGUUGAAGGUUUGGAAGGUUGGUAGGUUUGACUAAGGGUUGACGUUAUUCAUAUCGAGCUCGGAUUGUGAUUUCUGGAGUUGGUACAGGUCUAUUGUGUCAUUUGGGACUUGCAUGAAAAAUUUGAGCUCAUUCGGAGUUGGUUUGAUAUGAUUCGGUGUUAGUUUUAGUAGUUGAAUGUUCAUUGGUUAUGCUUGAAUUGUGGUGCGAUUCGUAAAUUUGAUAUUGUUUGAUGUUAUUUAAGGCCUCCAGUAGGUUCGUGUUGUGUUUUGAAACUUGAUGGUAUGUUCGGAUGGGGUCCCGGGAGGCUCGGGUGUGAUUCGGAUUGAGUACAGAUUCAUUUUUGGACUAGGAGGAUUUUGAGGCCUAUUGAAGUCUGGUGCAUCCGCACCUGCUCAAUUUGGGCUGUAGAAGCAAGGAUGGACUUGGGAAGCUGGGUCCACAAGUGCCGAAGACCUUGCGCAGGUGCGCGACCGCAGAUGUGGAUUUCUUUCGCGGAAGCGGAGUUUGGUUGAGUAUUGAGGGACAGCAGGUGCGGUGUUAUUGUGCAGAAGCGGACGCGCAAAUGCGCCCUUGUGUCCGUAGAAGCGGAAGCGCAUAUGCGCUCUAUGUCUACAGAAGCGGAAAUUUGCUGAGCCUUAGUGAAGCCGCAUCUGCGAUAGUUUUUCGAAGAUGCGGAGUCGCAGAAGCAACCAUUUGUCCGCAGGUGCGGAAAUCACUUGGCAGAAAAGGAUGGAAUCGAGGGUUUUAUUUUAUUUUUCAUAUUUUGAAUUAGAGAGCUCGGUUUUGGGCGAUUUUGGUGUGGAUUUUUAAGGAUUGGAUCGGGGUAAGUAUUUUUUACUCGGAUUCAUUUAAUAUCCAUGGUUCUAUCAUUGUUAUUAUUAUUUAAUUAUUGAUUUAAGUUGGAGAAAUUGGAGGAUUUUGCAAAAACUUUCCUAAAUCAUAAAUUAAAGAUUUGAAGGUCGAUUUGAGGUCAGAAUUGGAUAAUUAUGGUAUGGUUGGACUCGUAUCGGAAUGGGUAUUAGGAUUUUAUAAGUUUGGUCGGGUUCCGAGGUGCGGGCUUGAGGUUGACUUUUUGAUUUUCUUUAAAGAUUGAAACUUUAUUACCCGAAAUUAUUUCUUAGGGCUUGUAUUUAUGGUAUUAAGUUAUUUUGGCUAGAUUUGAACCGUCCGUAGUUGGAUUUUCAUGGGAAAGGCUUAUUAGUAGAUUGAUUUAGCUUGGUUGGGGUAAGUAUCUUGGCUAACUUUGUGUGGGUGAACUACCGUUAGGACUUGCGUUGAUUUGUGUUAUUUGAAUUAUGUGAAAGACGUGUACAUGAGGUGACGAGUGUGUACACUGGCUUAUGUGUGGUAUUUUGACCGGACUAGACUCUUAGACUCUUACAUGCAUUUAAUUAAAAUUUGUAAUAUCGUGUUAUAUCUUCCAUUGUUAAAUUGCUCUUACAUGCUUUACUUGAUGUUGUUAUCACAUGCUCUUAUAUGCCUUAAUUGCCUUUAUUAUCUCUCUUAUUGUCAUGUUACCUCUUUUACUGUCGAGUUAUUCUUAUUUGAAGUUGUUAUUUCAUGAUGUCUUUUCGUGUUGAGUUAUUCCGUGCAUUUAGAUGUAGAUACUAUUCUGUACCAUCUCUUUCAUUGUUAAGCUUAUGUUGUACAUUUAAAUUGAAAAUUGUCAUUUCGUGGCAUAUGGGUACUUGUGGUGCGAGUUUUUAUUGUAUUGUAACAUUGAUGCGCAUGCGACGGUAUAAGGAUAGGGGUUAAUGUGCAUGCGGCGACAUAAGGUGAAGUUUAUGUACGUGUUGUUAGUAAGGAAAUUACUUGAAGCCACACUGCGACAUAAGGGGGCUAAAGUGCGUGUAGCUAUUUCGGAAAAAUAUUUUCAAAAAUAUCUAAAUGUAAGGUUCAUGCGGCGGUAUAAGGAAAGAUUGUGAUUGUGAUUGUAAUUAUGAAAUGAGGUUAUGAGGUAUGGUACCUCGGUUAUGAUUCUUGUUGUGCAUUCUAUGUUAAAAAGGCUUGUUGAUUAAACAGUUCUUGAUGUUUCCUUCUUGUCUUACUUGUAUUCGUCUAUAUUUGAUUACUUGUUGUUCUGAUCAUGUAUUCAUUUCUUGUUGUCUUUAUUGUUUUAAAUCUCGUUGUUAGCUUACAUUAUUGAACUGCUUUAUUGUCAUCCAUUUCCUCGUCUUCCAUUAUUUGACUACACUAUACUUUGUUCAGUUUUUCUUAUCCUAGUAGGUGUCUUGACAUGGGCUCGUCACUACUCUACCGAGGUUAGGCUUGAUACUUACUGGGUACCGUUGUGGUAUACUCAUACUACGCUUCUGUAUAUUUUUGUACAGAUCCAGGUACAUCUGCUCGUGUCGGAUGCCAGUGAUUAUUCAGUUAUCUUUCCGGAGACUUCAAGGUAUACCUGCUCGACGUCCAUAGGCCUCGGAGUCAUCUUCAGCCAUUACUUUUACUACUCUUUAUCUUCUACUCAGACAAUGUUGUAUUAGAGAUUUUUAGAUUAUUUUUGUAAAGCUUAUGACUCACUUCUACUGGUUUUGGGCUCUUAUUACUGAUGUUUCCAAUUUGGAGUUAUUACGAGCUUUAUCGAUUUAUUCUAUCAUCUUAGUUCUUUAUUUAUGUUAAGUUAUUCAUAAAUGUUAGGCUUGCCUAGUCUUAGAGACUAGGUGCCAUCAUGACUACCUUAGGUGGGAUUUUGGGGUCGUGACAAAACUUCUGACAAAUUAGUAUGAAAUUUUUCAGUUUGUGGUGCAAAUUUCAGAUAAAAUCAACUUGUUAUAUUUGAACUUCAGAUAAUUAUUUCUGAAAGCUGGCCUGAUAGUUGCAAACUUCAGACAAAGUUUAACUUAGUAAUGUCUGAAGUUUGACCCUGCAGUCCCAAACUUCAGACUCAUAUCUUUGAAGACGUUCAAUAGUUGAGUAUCAGAUGCUUCUUCGAGUUUCACGCUCCCGGACGGAUUUCAGUCAAAUAAUGUUGAAUUAACAAACCUAAAAUUGCGGUAGCAAAAUCUUCAAAAAUUUGAACUCGAGACUCACACAAUGUUAAUGUAGUUUCCUGCUUUGCACUUUCUAGUUCAAAUCUUCAAAUUAAUGUUGGUAUACGUUCGUUUAACUCCCUAUUUAAAUACCCAGAUGAUUUCAAGAUUAGAUCUUCAAACAUCUCAAUUACUGAUUUGAGUUUUCAAGUUCCUUUAAUGGUAAUUUUUACUCAAAACACAUACCCUGGUGCUAAAUUAUUGUGUACCUCAUAUUCAAUCAAUAAUACUUACAUAGAGUCUCAUGUGUUUGAGAGAGAGAGAAAGAAGAAGAAGAAGAAGAAGAAGAAGAAGAAGAAGAAGAAGAAGAAGAAGAGGAGAAAGAAAGGAGCGCAUAGGUCGCAGGAGGAAGAAGAGGAGGCAACGACUGGUCUAAAGUUGUCAAAAUUAGGGCAUAGGUUAAAUAAUUUAAAAAUAUGGGUAUAGGUUAAAUGGUGGCGACCAAAUGGGGCGCCCCGUGCAAUUUUUACGUUUAAAGUGCCAAAAUGCACAUCUUGCGGAUGCUGUGGGCUUUGGCCAUGACUUCCAUUGCGACUAGGGAUUGUUUGAGUGACAGCGCCAUUUGGAUUGGUUAAAUUUAUUUUCAAACUUAGUUAUCUUAUAUACAACUUGUUCAUAUUAAAGAUUGCUGACCUGUUUAUUGUUAUUACACACACACACAUUACGUACUACAACGAUCGAGAUUCCAAGUGAUACCAAAAUUGAACGAAUUUACAUUGAAACGAAGCCAAAAUGUGUUAAAUUGUUAAUAAUGAUAGCUAAACCUUGGGUCCACUUAUGGAUUUCAAAUCACAUUUUUGCUGGUGUAGCCUUAGCUGAUUGUCAACCUGAGUUUCUUCUCUCGCAAAAGAAAAACUAUUUGUAACAAUUCGUUUGGCUGUAUUUCCAAGGAAAACUUGAAGUUCGAAGGCAUAUGCAAUGAGAAAAAAUUGUCGGUCUCAAUAUUGCCAGCAAAAAAUACGCUAGAGCUUAAGCAAGACGCUAAGCAUGUAACCCAAUUUACCACUUUCAAGCUACUAUAGCCAACCAUAAAUCUAGAUUUGCAAACUGAUAAAUGAUACGGAACAUGAUAAAAGAAAAAUGAGAUCAGAGAUUUAUAUUCAUUUAUACCAUACACUGCCACUAUCUGAUUGUUUGAUACUGGUACAACCAAUUGACAUUAUGAGUACUUCUCACAGACAUGUGCAUAAUAG